rnacentral:rRNA from 1 species
GAUGAACGCUGGCGGCGUGCCUAAUACAUGCAAGUCGAGCGAACAGAUGAGGAGCUUGUUCCUCUGACGUUAGCGGCGGACGGGUGAGUAACACGUGGAUAACCUACCUAUAAGACUGGGAUAACUUCGGGAAACCGGAGCUAAUACCGGAUAAUAUAUUGAACCGCAUGGUUCAAUAGUGAAAGACGGUUUUGCUGUCACUUAUAGAUGGAUCCGCGCCGCAUUAGCUAGUUGGUAAGGUAACGGCUUACCAAGGCAACGAUGCGUAGCCGACCUGAGAGGGUGGUCGGCCACACUGGAACUGAGACACGGUCCAGACUCCUACGGGAGGCAGCAGUAGGGAAUCUUCCGCAAUGGGCGAAAGCCUGACGGAGCAACGCCGCGUGAGUGAUGAAGGUCUUCGGAUCGUAAAACUCUGUUAUUAGGGAAGAACAAAUGUGUAAGUAACUAUGCACGUCUUGACGGUACCUAAUCAGAAAGCCACGGCUAACUACGUG